rnacentral:lncRNA from 1 species
CUUCCUCCAAUCCAAACGAUUCUGCUCCAUGACCUGUGUCACGUCAGUCCAGUUUUCCUCAUAGGGCUGCAGAAUACCAGUUCAAUGUGAGCUGUACUAAGCAUCUGAGGGAGUUGAAGGUGGACAAGGCCAGUCGUUGGGGCCAUAGGCCGAUGGGCAGGAGAGGACGACCCCCGGAGAGGAUCAACGGGGGCUCCAGAGAACACUUCCUCCUUAGACAGAUGAAGUGGCCCUACGGCUCUGAUGAGGCCCAGAGAAGGUUGAGGGGGAAGAGGAGCCCCCUGUCCACCUGAUCACCAGGCUGCGUCGGCAUGAAGAGAGGGAGAGAAGAGAGGUGACAGAGAGAGGGAGGGAGCAGGGAGAGGAGAGACGUUCAGUCCCUCUUAUGGACAGAUCGCGGGAAAGACUGUAGUGAAAAUCCAACACAGUGGAGUGUGGAACAAGUCUGCUCCUACAUCAGGUAGGCGGGACAUAUCCAACGAGUUACGUUCCCAGGGGAUUGACGGCCAGGCCCUCCUAUUGCUGACAGAGAAGCACUUG